UGCCACAGCCAUAUCACCCUGCAGCCCAAGACCGGUUACUCACUGAAGCUAAGCAGGGCUGAGCCUGGUUAGUACCUAGUUGUGAGACCACUUGUAAAAACUAGGUUGCUGUUGGAA
rnacentral:rRNA from 1 species